rnacentral:rRNA from 1 species
AGAGUUUGAUCCUGGCUCAGAUUGAACGCUGGCGGCAUGCUUUACACAUGCAAGUCGAACGGUAACAGGCCGCAAGGUGCUGACGAGUGGCGAACGGGUGAGUAAUGCAUCGGAACGUGCCCAGUCGUGGGGGAUAACGCAGCGAAAGCUGCGCUAAUACCGCAUACGAUCUGUGGAUGAAAGCGGGGGACCGUAAGGCCUCGCGCGAUUGGAGCGGCCGAUGUCAGAUUAGGUAGUUGGUGGGGUAAAGGCUCACCAAGCCAACGAUCUGUAGCUGGUCUGAGAGGACGACCAGCCACACUGGAACUGAGACACGGUCCAGACUCCUACGGGAGGCAGCAGUGGGGAAUUUUGGACAAUGGGCGCAAGCCUGAUCCAGCAAUGCCGCGUGCAGGAAGAAGGCCUUCGGGUUGUAAACUGCUUUUGUACGGAACGAAACGGUCUGAGUUAAUACCUCGGGCUAAUGACGGUACCGUAAGAAUAAGCACCGGCUAACUACGUGCCAGCAGCCGCGGUAAUACGUAGGGUGCAAGCGUUAAUCGGAAUUACUGGGCGUAAAGCGUGCGCAGGCGGUGAUGUAAGACAGUCGUGAAAUCCCCGGGCUCAACCUGGGAAUUGCGAUUGUGACUGCAUCGCUGGAGUGCGGCAGAGGGGGAUGGAAUUCCGCGUGUAGCAGUGAAAUGCGUAGAUAUGCGGAGGAACACCGAUGGCGAAGGCAAUCCCCUGGGCCUGCACUGACGCUCAUGCACGAAAGCGUGGGGAGCAAACAGGAUUAGAUACCCUGGUAGUCCACGCCCUAA